GAGGUUUGCUUUUGCAAUGGAUCGCAUUGAUCGCACUCUCUGCACCGAGCUGCCGCCAGCCCCCAGCCCAGCUGCUCUCCCUCUGCACUCACCAGGACCUUCCCCUCCUUUGGCUGCAUGGCUGCUCCAGGGCCACCUCUGGGACCCGCCAAAGAGGAUAACCUAAGAGCCAAAGGGGACCAACUAUCUCUCACACAGACGGGUUGUGUCUGUACCUCUGAUUUUUGUCCUACGUUCACAUUGUGGGAGAGCUUAGAAAGAAAAGAUAUGCAGGAACCCAAUUCGCCGCCAUCGGUUGGGGAGGAUCUCUGCCAAGAGGCCUCCAACUCUCCCCAGGGCAGCGCUAUCCAAAGCAAACCUUCAGCCUCAUCCUAGCAGCCGUGUUGAAAGUUUAAGGUGCUCUGAGUUACAUGAGGUCAUAAAUUAAUCUGCCAGAGAAGCGUGGCAUGCACCUGAUAUCAAGGGAGGGUCAGGAGCCGGCCAGUUCCAGCUGGCCCCAUGUGUGAUUUACUCCAGGCUUUAAAGAUGUAUGCUGUGGUGUUUUGAUAAGAAUAAAGGAGUCAGCAGUUUGUUUUGGCAAUUUUUUUUUUUUUUUUAACUCUUCUUUCUGAAGAGGACUGCAGCUUAAGCUACAGAUUUUGUUAUUGCUCUCAGGGUGCUUUUUAGCAGAGGCUCUCGGUCUGCAUGGGGCUAUCUCAUCUCUUUACUGUUACACUUAACCACAUUUCUGCCUCUCUGGAGCCAGUCAGACAACAGCACGCACUUCUCAGCAGCUCCUCUCCUCCAGGCCUGCAGCAUCUCCCGGAGCACUCAGAAAGACUACAGCCCAGUAUACGGGUGAGCUUCUCUGCCACAGCAAUGCCCCACCACUGCGUCACAUCUCUGACCUCUUGCCACAAGUCCUUGCCCCAUAAAGGUCACCCUCUCCCCCCGACAUCAUUCCAGUACGUGAGUACUUUCAUUCUGUCCUGUACAGGUGCAUUCAUACAUACUUCAAGGCUGAGUGUGGGAGGGUGUCCUGCUCUUAGCUGAACUCAUCUCUUGCACGCAGGUCCCAUCACACCCACAGUGCCCUCACCCAAAGCCCCCAAACUUCCACUCAUAGCCUUCAAUCAGAGAAUACUGAAGGGAUGAUCACAUUCUGACAUGAAGAGACCACCAGAAAUGCCCCAGAGCAAGGAGUGAUGCACCAGGAGCAUUCUGUAGAAGUGACAGCAGUGGGUGCUGGAAUGGGGGACUCAGAAUCACAUGAGGAGUUUGGGAUUAUAUCCCUGUUUUUUUUUUCUCCUUUCUUCCUAUUUUAGUUUCUCUGCCUGUAAAACAGGCAGAUAACAGCCUCUGACCCUACUGCUUUUCCAUGAGGCAAUUGCUGUCUGAAAAAAAAGUCAGAAACCCUCCGAGGACACAAUUGGUGACAAUGUUCUGAGGUGGAUGCACUGCCAUUCCUGUGUUGUGCUUGGCUAACACUUCCCAGCACAGACCAUGUUUUCUGUUGCAUGUAGCUUUAGAAAAAACAUCAUCACUUCGACUGAAAACUGAUAUGCUGACUGUCUGUACCAGGAUGAUUAUUUUGAAAAUACCUGCCAAAACAAUUUGUCCAUUUCCAAGAACAAGGUUAUGGAAAAAUAAACAGUUUUGCUCAUACUAAAAAAAUGGAAACUUUUUCCUUUGAAAUGCUCUGCUGCCCUCAGGCUUUGAAGCACAGUCUCAAAAUGUGACCUCUUUCAUUCAAAACGUGCCUUUCCCUUCUCUGAAAAUUUACACAAAUCUGGCUAACUUGUAAAUAUUAGAUUUUUUUCUUUCUUGAAUGAGCACACUCUCAGUAAUGAUUUCUUUUAUUCUAAUAGGGGAAAAAAAAAAGGGGGGAUCAUUAAAGACUGGUCUUGACUGAGAACAGAAGCUUAAGGAUACUGUGGUAAAGCUAGAUUUCCACUUUAAUCCCCACCUCCAAAUUUUCCCAGUGAGCCCGAGCCUUGGCACAGGAUCUGAGAGGUAGGAAUCCUAUCUCUUCUAAGCUCCAAAUGAUUUGAAGGUUGUAUCAAGAAGAAAGGUCUCCGCAUGAAUACGACAGGGAGAAAAUUCUACCCUGUGACAGAGAAGGCAACAGAGGCAGCCAAGCAGCCCGGAGAGAAAAACUGGGACUGGCGUUUGGAGCAGGAGCCUGGGACUGAUUAGGUAAGGAGACACAGAGGUGGUGCGGAAAAAGCAAAGAGAAAGUGCUCAGCGGAGGAGCCUGGAGGGGAGAAAAGGGGCUGGCAGGGCAAGGAUAACAAAACCGUCUAAUACUGUCAGCCAAGAGCAAGGAUACAUAAUUGCAGAAUGUCCAGAAUAGCUGGGCUGAAUUUCAUGUGAAACACAGUAAAAAUUGUUUAAGUCUAAAUGUUUAAUUUCUGUAUUGUUAACUGAUGUACUUCAGCUUCUCUGUUAAGCAUUAAUGUUUUUUUUUAAUUUUGAAUAGAAUUUGCUUUCUGAUGCUAGAAAAUAAAGAAUUUAAUGACCUUCAAGAUAAGUAUUUCUGAGCAGAUUCAGAAUAUUUUUAAAUGAUUUUUUGUGUGUGUGUGACAUCAAGCUAAGGGAAUGUGCUACACAGUUGGCUCUGGCUGUAACAUCAGGUACUCAGAUGUUAGGGCAACAUCUAUGCCGAGGGUGUCAGAGUUCCUUAGUUCUGCCUCCCUGCAUUGAGAUAUAUGACCACACAGAGUUCAUUCCACCAAUUUCCCAAAACACAAAUGAAGCCCUGCAAGUUACGCCUUCUCUAUGGGCAGGGCACAGGUUCGUAGUUUUUAUUCACUGUAUUUCCAAUUUGUCGCAGAACUGGGUACUGUUCACAGACAAGGCAGACAAUUACAAGGAGAGAAAGCAGGGCCUUGUGGCAAUGUGACAGCUGAAUUUUGCUUGUAGAAUCUGAAUCCAUUCCCCUUUCACCUCAAAGCUUCUACAAUGUGAAGAAAGUCACCACAAGAUGUAAUAAUUAGCUGAGAUUUUUGUGUUAUGAGAGCCCACCAUGAAAUUCUGGAGUUGGAUUUGCUGAAGCAAAUUCCUAGGGCAAAAUCCAUGGGACUGUACAUCGACAGUGCCAAGGGAUGCAGAAUAUCAAACAGGCUGAAAAAAAACAAGUAAUCAGCAUCUCUAAUUGGAUACUCAAAAUUAGUGGGCACUUCUGACUUUAAUCUCAUUUAGUUGUAGCACAGAUUUAUUAACAAGGAUAAGACUAUCUCAUUGCUUCAAUUUUUUGUUUGCCAAACACCCAGACACCAUACAUCUUGUGGCUGGGAGAGGAAUAGAAGAAAAAUAACAGUGUUGGGUUCAAAUUGGGAUUGAUGUGCCCCAAACAAAACCUACAGAGUCUCACACAUGUAAAACUCAACCAUGGAAACUAACUCCUGCUAGCCCUGCUCCACUUACUACCCUGAAUGGCAAAGGGGUGCUCACAAAUAUAUCAAGCCAAAAAGUCCUACCAUCCUUUCAAAUAAUAUUUUUGUAGGGUGUACGUGAAUGGAUGAAACAAAGUGGGUUUUUUUUAAAGUUAUUUUUGAAAAGGGAGAAAGUGAGGAAGAAAAAUGGAGAGGAACAAGCCCAUAAUGUCAGAGAAUAUGGAAAACAUCAGUUUUGGACAUUCAGCCUAGCAACUUGUCUUUGGUUACUGCAAAAUCUCUUUUCCUUUGCUUACAUCCUUGCAGUUGCUUCAGAAUGAACAUUUUUCCUAUGACAAAUUUUGAAUUUUGAGGAAAAAUGUAUUUUCCAGAAAAUUCUUGACCAUCUCCAGGUAUGUGAAGGAGCCAUUAAGAGCUGUGGGAUAACACAUCUCUGCAAGGGAUUGUUACUGAGUGGUGUGAUCAGCUCUCAUUCUGUCACUUCCUACUGCUUCCUGUUGGUUUUAAAUGUUUAUAGUCUCUGUAAUUUGCUUUUGAGUGUGUGUAUGUACAAAAUACUAUAUGACUAUGCAAGAUUUAUCUUCUACCUAAUUUAUUGCUGUUCCAUUUUUUUCCAUUAAAGCAUAGCUUUUUACAUCCAUUCAUUGAUUUUUCAUUCCAUAGAAUCACAGAAUAUCCUGAACUAGAAGGGACCCACAAGGAUCAUUGUGUCCAACUCGUGGCUCCACGCAGCACCAGCCAAAAUCCAAACCCUAUGUCUGAGACCGUUAUCCAAACGCUCCUUGAACUCCAUCAGCUCAAGACCAUGCCCACUGCCCUUUGGGUACCUAACCCUCACCUGACCCUCCCCAGCACAGCUCCAUGCUGUUCCCUUGGGCCCUGUCACCAGAUAGCUGAGGUCAGCACUAUCCCUCCACUCCCUGUGAGGAGCUGUAGGCUACCACGAGACCUCCCCUGUCUGCUCUUUUCCAGGUUGAAGUGAAUUCUGUAAUGAUUUCUGCUGUUUAGAACUAAAUACAAACAUUAAUCUCAAAACCUCCAAAAUCCCCAUUUUGAGACUUAGACUUUACAUCACGAAAACGUGGCAUUGAAGAAAAAAUGUAAGACAUAAAAAAUAAGACAUAACACUGUGACUUGUUAGUGAUAAACAUCAACAAAGUUACUACAAAUAUAACAAUUAUAAAUCUAAGUAGAGGUUACUAUGUACCUUACAAUUCAGAGACAGACAAAACAAGCAAGAUUGAAACAUCCUUCAUGUUAGUGAUAGAAUACCACAAAUUCAGGGGUGUUAGUGAUAUCUCAUUCAUUUUAACAAAUGGUUUUUGUUUGUUUGUUUGUUUGUUUUUAGAGAGUUGAGUGCUUCUGAAUGGUAGCAGGUUGAUAAUUUUUAGACAGUAUUUCAGCUCAUUUGCUGAUCAGGUGCAACACAAACAACAUUUCUGUCUUACCCAAGCUAAGCAUAAUAGCAAAAGGGCAACUGGAGAGUCCAAGUAACCUUUGUCUUUUUUUUUUUUUUUUGCUCAGAUAGCACAUAUUUAAUUGCUUGCUUUUUAAUUGCUUAUAUAUUAUUUAUUUUAGCACUGACAGUUAUCUGCAGGGAACUGGAGUAAAGUCUUCAAAAUUUUUCAGCUUCUGCAUACACAUCUAAAUCAUGAAGAGAAGAUGAGAGCGCUAGCGAAAUCCAAACACUUUAUUUAAAACAAAAAGUGUAAUUGUUCAGAAAUAGGCUAUUGACUUUCACUGGGUUAAACAGCUCAUGUAGUGAUUAGGCUUGAAGCUAUAAUUGUUCUUGUCACCCAAACUCUGCUCAGUCAAUAUCUUUUUAUCAUAUACAUUUUUAAUCACAUAUUAAUAAACAAGAAGGUGUGCUUUA